UACGAAGGGUGCAAACGUUGCUCGGAAUCAUUGGGCGUAAAGCGCACGUAGGCGGCUUCGCAAGUCGGAUGUGAAAUCCCUCGGCUCAACCGAGGACGUGCAUCCGAAACUGCGGGGCUUGAGUACAGAAGAGGAUCGCGGAAUUCCCGGUGUAGAGGUGAAAUUCGUAGAUAUCGGGAGGAACACCAGUGGCGAAGGCGGCGAUCUGGGCUGAUACUGACGCUGAGGUGCGAAAGCGUGGGGAGCAAACAGGAUUAGAAACCCGCGUAGUCC
rnacentral:rRNA from 1 species